GGAAUUUUAAGGUGUCUUUGACAGCAGGCAAGGCAGAGUUCUGUACAUGAGACUAGAACUUGGAAGGAGGAAGCAGGCAAAGUUCUGACAGUUGGUCAUGGUCUUCUUAGAGUUACUCUCUGGCUUCCAGUGAAGACAGACAUGUCAGACCUUGCUCUCCAGUGCUGAUAGGGAAGAGAGAACUCUAAACUAUCUUAAAAGGGUUUUCUACUCUCCUGACUGUGGGAAUUCAUCUUGAAGAAAAAGCUGUCAGAGCUGCUGUGUUGGAGAACUGUCUUGAGUCAUGCCUGAAACUUCCUGAUCCCAUUUGGAGUCAUCACUGGUACAGAUGAGAUGAAGGAAGGCUGUAGAAUCUACAGUGUAGAUUGACCACACCUUGGGACUGACUCCUGUGCCAGCAGACAGAAUGUAAGACACAGAAGGUCAUCUCCCAGCAGAUGCCAUGAGCUAAGGAAUCAUCAAAUGAAUUCACAAGAGAAUGAGGAAAAUGAGAUCACUGAAGCCAACAGCUCUUUUUUAAGUGCCUCCACAGCCAAUCCA
rnacentral:lncRNA from 1 species